rnacentral:lncRNA from 1 species
GGAUGGCAAAAUAUAGGCUCAUUUGCAAAAGCAGCAUUUAGCAAAACAUUUAAGAGAAGUAAAACAGUAGAGUAAUUAAUCAGAAAUUUUAAUCAACACUGAACAGCACACCCAUGCUGCACAGGCCCAACCAUCCUGAACAACCGUACCCGGCUGUACAAAUCUAACUCCAAACCAGGAGCUAAGCAAAUUAUUACCAGUUAAUCAUCAAUAAUUAUUGUGAGAGGUGUGAGACUAAUCACGAAAAACAUUGCUCAACUCGCCCAUAACCGCGGGCACGGCUAUUCGAAUAGUUUUACUCUGGCCAGAGGUGUACCACUAUACCCACAAGACACAACCUCAACAUCAUGUCAACCAUGCGUCGCGAUACUGGAAAGUACCCGAAUAGAGGCUGUGACAUUACCCCCUACAUAACACAACUCACCACAGUGCACCAUUCCUGGAUCAUAAUCACCCCCUCUACAACCAGAGGCAUGGACUCCCCAGCGACCCCCAUGGACUUCUCGCCACUUCACAGUCUGGCACACUAUAAUGAAUCAUGCUAUACAAAAGAUAAAGCCGUUGCCCACGCUGGCUUGUGGUUGGUACGGUAAAUGUUUCACAACAGUAGCUCGCAAACCGGUCCUUAAUUGUCAUGAGCACAACCAUCAAAACCAUAUGCUCACAACCCACCUUAACCAGGUUUUAAUUAUCAAUUAAUUAUCAUCACACGAUUAACCAUCGUGAGCUACCAUUAAAUAUGACCACAAAUAAUAAUGUAGUAUAUAUAAUUCAUCCCAUUAGUGAACUAAUGUUUCUAAGCUUUGCUAAGCAAUUAUAUCUAACAUUUAGCUGAACCAAACCAAUACAUAAGGUUCAAGCUAAUCAAUUUAUUACCCAAGGUAUCAAGGAAUAAGGCAUUCAAUGCAAAUUGGCCAUAACAAAGGAAUAGGUUCACACCACCCGGUGACAUUCGAAAAUAAAUGCACAGUUGAAAUAAAUAGAGAAUUUAAAUAUAGGAUCAACAUGCUCAAAGGAUUGUGUUUAGGAUCUGUGUGACUUGCCUUGCAAUAAUCAGUCUUCAAUUAAUCUUCCUGAUCACUUCCGACGCACUCACGAACCUUCGCAACGACGGAAACGACAAACUAACACGUAAAACGAAGAAAAAGACUAAUAAAAACCAAAUAAACAGUACAUAAAAAGUAAACAAACAUGUAGAUCAUAAUUUUAGAUGAAUUAUGAGACUUGAACGGCCUUACUCCGACUUCAAAUGAAUUUAUUAUGAAUUUUACAAGAUUAAAUCUAAUUAAAGCCCAAUUAAAAAGAAUUAAACAAAUUUAAUUCAAUUUAUGGACAAUUUUAAUAUGUAGAUCUUUAUUUUAGAAAAAUUUAGCAACUUGAACCACCUAAAACGGAUCUACGGUUAUUUAGUUAUGAUUUUCCAAAGUUUUAAUCUAUUAGAAAAAACGGGAAAAAGGAAAAAGAGAGAAAGAUGACGUCAGCCCUGGCCCUGAUGACGUCAGCCCUUGCGAUGACGUCACGCUGACGUCACCCAACGGCGGCCGGCUCGGGUUCGCGAGCUCGCCGGCGCUAGGGAAGUCGACGGCGGAAACGGAGGCCAUCUACGCGUAGAGGACAACGAGGCGAACCCGUUGGUACUCACCACGUAGUCAAAGGAUGCACGACGGCGGCCGGCGACGAGAGAAGGCGGCGCGGCGGUUCGGGUCCACGGCGUCGAGGGGGCUCCGGUGGUCGGCGGCGGAAAAGAAGGGGCGGCCGAGCUUCCUCACACGACGGCGCUCCUCUUGGCGGCAACGGCGAGCGGCGGCGACGACGGAGGCGGCGGCGCGACGCGACCGAAGAUGGCCGGCGGCGGCGGCAAACCUAAUGCACGCGGCGGCGGCUCUAGGAGGCACGGGAGAGCUCGAGAAAGGGGGCAAACGGAAGAGGAGAUCAAGGAGAAGCUUUAUAUGAACUCGGAUCGAAGAGAUCAAGCCGCAAACGAGAGGAAUCGAAUCGGGAAGAAAUCGAACUCGGUUUUUUUAGGGAUAAAACAAAACGAGUUCGAUUCGGAUCCAAACCUCCACGAUUCGUUUUGAUUCUUGGGGGAAAAGAAAUAGGAGAUCGAGAGGAACAAAACCCCUCAACCAAUCGAAGGAAUCGAGCUCGGAUUUGGGCGAAAUCGGCGCGGGAAACGGCGCUAGGGUUCGGGCUCUUGCGCGGCGGCGGCCGGAGGAGGAAGACGGCCCUGACAUGUGGGCCCCACAUGUCAGCGGCUGGGAGAGAGGGGCGGGCGGCGGCUUGGGCCGGCGUGGGCCGCGCGCGGGGAGAGAGAGGAAAGAGAGAGUUGGGCCGAAAUCGGCCCAACGGCCUAAGAGAGGAUUUUUAAAACUUUUUCAAUUAAAAUAAUUCGUGAAAUGUUGUUUCAUUUAUUAAAAAUACUUCCCUUGCUCAAAUAAUUCCCAGAAAAAUCUAGAAAAUAGAGGAACAAGCAAAGUGUUUAAUAAAAUUUUAUCUAACCCAAUUUUAUAUUGAACUUUAGCAAAUUAAAAGAAAAGAUCUUCUCUUUUAAACUUUUAAAAUCAUUUCUAUUAAUUCCUUUUAAACAACAAUUUAUAAUUUAAGGAUUUUAAACAGGAAAAGCACUUAACAAUUAUAAUUAGAUCAUUAUAUGAUUAAUUUAAUAUUUAAAUAAUUGCUGAACUUCUCUUUGUAUGAUUAAAAUUAAUAAUUGAGCUCCGAAAAAUCCGAGAAUAUUCCAGAGAGUAUAAUUAACCAUGGAGAAUUUAAUAAGAAUUAAAUCCAUCCAUGCUUUUUAUUUAGGAAAUUUUAUUUCCCGCAUUUAACUUCACUUGUAAAUUGAUGAACAUUUAAUAUAAAUUCUAUUAUUAAUUUAUUAAAUAAUUUAUAAAUCCUGAGGCGAAAAUCAGGAUGUGACAUCCAUGACUGCCCAACACAUGAGCCUCGUCCCAACACAGGAGACGCGUCACGGCAAAGCCUUUCAAUAACCUUAUGUCACACCCUAAAAAUCCUAAAUAUAUAAAUUGUUGUUUAAUUGGAAUUUUUAGAAAUGAUUUUAAAAGCCUUGAAAAGAAGAUCUAAUUUUAAUUAAUAAAUUCCAAUAUAAAAUGGGGCCAGAUAAAAUUUCAUUAAAUACUUUGCUUAAUUCUAUAAUUCCUAGAUUUUUCUGGGAUUUAUUUGAGCUAAGGAAGUAUUUUUAAUAAAUGGAAUUGCAUUUCAUGAAUAAUUUUAAUUGAAAAAGGUUUUAAAAGUCCUCUUUUGGCUUUGGGCCGAAAGUUGGCCCAAAACCCUUCUCUCUCUCCUCGGCCCAGCCGGCCCAGUCCGAGCCGCCGCUCUCCUCUCUCUCUCUCCCGCUGACAGGUGGGCCCCACCUGUCAGGGUCGUUGUCUUCGUCGCGCCGCCGCCGCCCGAAACCCUAGUUUCGCGCCGCUGCCGUUCCUUUCCAAAUCCGGCCGCCCAUUUCCUUCUCCGGCCGAAUUGAUAGAGGGGAAAUGAUCUUCGGGAUCUCCUCUACCUUUUCUCCUUUGGAAACAUCGGCUAAAUCGGUUUGGAAAUCGGUGGAUUCGAGUUCGAAUUGGAUCGGUUUUUCUCUCUUCGAGCUCGAGCUUUCCAUCUCGUCGCCGGCCGCCAUGGGCCUUCGUCGUCGCCUCCUAGCUGUCACGCCCGGAAUUUCUAUCCAAAAUUCCAAACGCUUACAUGUGUGUAAACCCUCGUCCAGGAAUCAGCCGAGGCACACAAUAACAAAUUGAUAAUAGAGUACAGUUAUUACUCUAAUUAUUAAGCGUAUAAAAUAUCAUUACAGAGGUAGAUAGUUCCUCUCAAUCAAUAAAGAUCUAAGCAGCGGAAAAAGAUAAACGGCGCGGACGACUCCACUCCACAGGCAGCUUGACCAGGGCUACACCUAAUCCUCCACACCAUCAGCUUCACUGUAGAACUCUUCCUCUGAUGAAUAAUUGCAAGGUGAGUAUAUGACAUACUCAGCAAGCCACGCAGCAAAUAUGCAAGUGCAUAGGAUAACAAAGGAUGGCAUAAUAGGGUUUCAUUUGCAAAAGCAGCUUUUAGCAAACGCUUGAGAAUUUAAUAAAACAGUUAAGUAAUUAAACAAUAUUAAUCCAACGCUAUACAACAUACCCUGUUGCAUAGGCCCAACCAUUCUGAACAACCAUCCCGGCUGCACAGUUCUAUCUCCAAACCAGGAAUAUACCAUUCCAAACCAGGAGCUAAUCAAAUUAUUACCAGUUAUAGCAUCUUCUAUUAUGGUGAGAAGGGUGAGACUAAUCACGAAAGACAUUGUUAAACCCGCCCAUAACCGCGGGCACGGCUAUUCGAAUAGUUUUACUCUAAUCAGAGAUGUACCACUGUACCCACAAGACACAACCCCACAUCAUGUCACCAUGUGCCUCAAUACCACCACGGUACCUCGGAAAGGAGCUGUGACAAUACCCCUCGCACAACACAAUCCACUACAGCGCACCUUUCCUGGAUCAUAAUCACCCCCUUAUAAACAAGGCAUGGACUCCCCAGCGACCCCCGUGGGCUUAUCUCCGCCACUUCUCAGUCUGGUGCCCCGCAAUGAACCAUGCUAUACAAAAGAUAAAGCCGUUGCCCAUGCUGGCUUGUGGUUGGCACGGUUAAUGUUUCACAACCGAAACUCGUGAAUCGGUCCUUAAUUGUCAUGAGCACGACCAUCAAAACCAUGUGCUCACAACCCACCAUUACCAGGUUUUAGUUGGCACAUUAAUUAAUUAACUAAUCACGAUUGACCAUCGUGAACUAUCAUUAAGCCAUCAUUAAAUAACAGUGAGUCAUAAGUUAUCCCAAUAGUGAGCUAAUGUUUCUAAGCAGGGCUAAGCAAUUAUAUCUAAUAUCUAGUUGAACCAAUACAUAAAGCUCAACUAGUCAAGUUAUAAUAACCUAAGGUAUCAAGGAAUAAAGUAAUCAAAAACAAAAGGGCUAUAACAAACAAUAGGUUAAUUCCACCCAAUGACAUUCGAAAAUAAAUGCAAUAGUUGAAUAGAAACAAUAGCUUUAAAUAGGAUCAACAUGCUCAAAGGGUUGUUUGGGAUCUGUGUGACUUGCCUUGCUGGCCUUGGAACUCUUCAAACUCUUCUCCGGCGAAAACGGACUCUCCGGAAACGACGGAAUCUAAGCAGAAAAGAACAAAAUCACCAAAACAGCACAUAAACAAGCAUGAACAGUAAUGUGGAUAUUUUUAAUGUGUAGAUCUCAAUUUUAGAAAAAAUUAGAGACUUGAACCAACUAAAUCGGAGCUAAGAUGAAUUAGUUAUGAAUUUUUAAAGAUUAAAUCGGAUUAAAACACUUAAAUCGGUUUAAAUUGAAUUAUGACGCAAUAUUGAAUUAUUUUUGAAAAGGAAAAGAAGGUUUAUUGCGUCAGGGGCUAGGGUUUCGGUGGACCGGGCGCACGGGCGGCGGUUCACGCGAACGGACGGCCGAGAUUCGAUCCAAUCCAAACGGACGGCCGAGAUCGAUCGGGUCCACGGCGGUUCACGGCGGACGGCCUUGAUGACGUCAGCAAUGAUGUCACCGACGGCGGCGGCGGCUCGGCGGAGCGGACGGCUCGGGCGGCGCACGCUCGCCGGCGAACGGCGGCGCGAGGACGAAAACGGAAAGCACCAGGACGAAGCGGGCGGCACGGCGAACUCACCGGCGACCAAAACGACGGCGGAAGAUCAACGGACGGCGACGGCGACGAGGAAGAAGCGGCGAAGCUCUUCGGGUCGACGACGGCGAUGACGCUCCGGCGGUCUUCGGCGGCGGCGAAGGGGCGAACGAGGACGGCGACGCGACGGCGAACACGACGGCGGCCUUCCCGAGCGACGGCGACGGCUGGAACGACGGCGGCGCACGGCUGGAGCGGCGGCGGCGGCGGCGAAGCUAGGGCUCACGGCGCUAGCGCGAUUCCGACGACGAGAGGCGAAGGCGAGGGUGGCGGUGGGUAGAGAAGAGCUCGGGGAAACUUUUAAAGGGGCUCGGAGGCGAAGGCGAAGGCCCACGGCGACCGGCGAUGAGGAAGGAAGGUUCGGGAAAAAUGAAUCCGAGACGAACUCGAAUCCCUCGAUUUCCAAACCGAUUUAGCCGAUGAUUCCAAAGGAGAAAAGGUAGAGGAGAUCCCGGAGAGUGUUUCCCCUCUAUCAAUUCGGCCGGAAACGGAAAGGGGCGGCCGGAUUUGGAAGGAAACGGCGGCGGCGGCUCGGCGGCGGCGCGCUAGGGUUUCGGCCCGAGGAAGACGACGGGCCUGACAGGUGGGACCCACCUGUCAGCGACCGAACACGCGCGCGCGGCGCGGGCGGCUACGAACUGGGCCGGACUGGGCCGAGGGAAAGAGAGAGAGGAAGCGGUUUUGGGCCGACUUUCGGCCCAAAGCCAAAAGAGGACUUUUUUAAAACCUUUUUCAAUUUAAAUUAUUUCUUAAAUGCAAUUUCAUUUAUUAAAAAUACUUCCUUAGCUCAAAUAAAUCCCAGAAAAAUCUAGGAAUUAUAGAAUUAAGCAAAGUAUUUAAUGAAAUUUUAUCUGGCCCCAUUUUAUAUUGGAAUUUAUUAAUUAAAAUUAGAUCUUCUUUUCAAGACUUUUAAAAUUAUUUUCUAGAAAUUCCAUUUAAACAACAAUUUAUAUAAUUUGAAUUUUUAGGGUGUGACAAACCUACCCCCCUUAAACAGAAUCUCGUCCUCGAGAUUCGGAAGAACUGGCGAACAGAUGCGGAUGAGCUGACUUCAAUUCAUCUUCUCGUUCCCAAGUUGACUCUUCUUCCGAGUGAUUACUCCACUGGACUUUGCAAAAACGGAUAACUCGAUUCCUGGUUCUUCUCUCAUCUAUUUCCAAGAUACGGAUUGGCUUUUCAACAUAGGUCAGAUCCUCUUGGACUUCUAUUUGUUCAAGAUUAGCUCCUUCGGUAGGUACCCUUAAACAUUUCUUCAAUUGAGACACAUGGAACACAUUAUGGACUCCUGCCAAAGAUUGAGGUAACUCCAACUGAUAAGCAACUUCUCCUCUUCUACGGACAAUCUUAUAAGGUCCCACAAAACGCGGUGCCAAUUUUCCUUUGGUGUGAAAACAAUGAACUCCUCGAAGAGGCGUGACACGAAGAUACACAUAAUCUCCUUCUUCAAAACUCAAAUCUCUGCGGCGAUUAUCGGCAUAACUCUUAUGUCGAGACUGAGCCACACGCAAUCUUUCUUGAAUGAUUUUCACCUUUUCUUCUGCUUCCCUUAGGAUAUCUGUCCCGAAAACCUGACGUUCUCCCGUUUGAUCCCACAAAAGCGGAGUGCGGCACUUCCGACCAUACAGUGCUUCGUACGGAGCCAUCUGAAGACUAGCUUGAUAACUGUUAUUAUACGAAAAUUCUGCAUAAGGUAGAUUCUUAUCCCAACUUCCACCGAAAUCUAAAGCACAAGCUCUCAACAUGUCUUCCAAAAUCUGAUUCACCCUUUCGGUUUGUCCGUCUGUCUGCGGAUGAUAAGCAGUACUAAAGUUCAGCUUAGAACCCAUCUCUUCCUGAAGUUUCUUCCAAAAAUUUGAAGUAAACUGACUUCCUCGAUCAGACACUAUCUUCUUAGGGACGCCAUGCAAACACACAAUCCUUGCCAUAUACAAUUCCGCUAAGCGACUUCCAGAAUAAGUUGUCUUUACCGGAAUGAAAUGUGCCACUUUGGUAAGUCUGUCGACUAUUACCCAAAUAGAGUCAUGGCCAGAUGACGUUCUGGGCAAACCAGUGAUAAAAUCCAUACCGAUUUCUUCCCAUUUCCAUUCAGGAAUCUUCAAAGGCUGCAGCAAACUGGCAGGUUUCUGAUGUUCUGCCUUGACUCGUUGACAAACAUCACAUACUGCUACGUAUUCUGCGAUUUCACGCUUCAUACUUGCCCACCAAAAUCUUUCCUUGAGAUCCUGGUACAUUUUUGUACUACCAGGGUGAAUAGAGUAUAAAGUAUCAUGGGCUUCUUUCAGAAUUGCAUCUUUUAAAUCUUUGUUGUCGGGGACACAGAUUCUCUCGCCCAACCAUACAGUUCCGUGCUCAUCCUCCAAGAAACCAAUAGCUUUUCCUCUUCUCAUAUUCUUCUUGAUUUCUUGAAUAUCAGAAUCAUUAAUUUGGGCUUCUCUAACUUGAUCAAUUAGAGUGGGCUUCGCUUCUAAGGCUGCAACGAAACCUCUACUGACAAUUCCCAAAUUUAAUCUUUCAAAUUCCUUGCAUAAUUCCAAUGGCAACUGUCGUCCUUCUGUAGCAUUGCAAUAGCCUUUCCUGCUAAGAGCGUCUGCUACAACAUUAGCCUUUCCCGGGUGAUAAUGAAUUCCCAUGUCAUAAUCCUUAAUUAAUUCCAACCAUCUCCUUUGUCUCAUGUCCAGAUCUGGCUGAGUAAAGAUAUACUUUAAACUCUUGUGAUUGGUAUACACCUCUGUACGAGUACCGAAAAGAUAAUUGUCGCGUCCCAAAUCGACUCUAAAAUACAUCCUCGAAAUCGUGCUGAGAAUAAUUAAAAUUCAUGUGAAAGCCUUCAACAAUUAAAAUGUGCAAAUUUAAAAGUCAAAUAAGGCUUGGAGGAUUUUUGUAUAUUUCCUAAAAGCCUAAAAUGCGUAAAUAAAUUUUAGUGGAAUUUUCAGAGCAAAUAAUAAUUGAGAAGAAAUAAACAAAGUUAAAAAGGUUUUAUAAAAAGAAAAUCCCUAAAAGUCUUCUUUCCCCCCCCCUUUCCCUCUUGGGCCGGCUCGGCCCAACUCCCUCCCUCUCUCUCCUCUCCCCCGCGGCCCAUCGGCCUCCUCCCCGCGCGCGCGCCGCCGACAGGCGGGCCCGCCCGCCACCCUCGCUGACGGGUGGGGCCCACCUGUCAUCGCCUACCUCGCGCCGCGCCCGCCGCCCGCCCGUGCCCUAGCGCCGCCGCCGCCGCCGAAUCCGCCGCAUCCCGCCGUCCCCGCGCGCCAUAAAGAGGGGGAAAUCACUCCCCGUGAUUCCCUCCCUCUUUCCCCCUCUUUUCCCUCUCUCUUUCCAUCGGAUUCGCUCGGAUUUAUUCCCGUAAAGUUCGCCGGCGCAUCAAUGGAGCCCGAGAUUCCCGCGGCCGAUUCCUUCCCCUCCGGCCACCCUCUCUCCCUCCCGACGCUAUAUAAUCGAUCCUCGUGCUUCGCUCCUCCGUUUCCGCCACUCGCCGCACUCUCUCCCCGUCGGAAUCAAGCCCGUGCCGUCUUCCUCUCUCUCCGCCGUCGCCGACGAGCUCCGGUUCGCCGCCGCCGUCGCUCCGGACUUCCUCCCCUCUCGGCGUCGCCUCCUUUGGCUUCGCCGCGUCCUCGUCGACCCCGUCCGCCCCUCCGAUUCGCCCGCCGACCGCCGGAACAUCGCUGUCCUCGUCGACCCGAGCCGCGCCGCCGCCUUCCUCCGCUCCGGUCAUCGUUUCCGCCGUCCUCGUCGUCCCGGGGUGAGCCGUGGACCGCCUCUUUCGCUUCCCUCUUCCCUCCCCUCUCUCGGCCGCCGCUCCGCCGCGCCGUUGGUCGCCGGCGGCGACCAUCGGGGCGCGGGUGCGCCGCCUCCCGUCGGCCGUGCCGGCGAGGCCGCCUUCGGGCGCUCCCCGCGGCUGCCAGGUGGGCCCAGCCGUCAGCCGCCCGCGCCCGCGGGUGCGGCUGACGCGUGGGACCCACGGCGCCGGCCGGCGUCAGCCGUGUGCACCCGGUCCACCGUGGACCGAGAGGCUGACGCGUGGGCCCCACUCCCGUGGACCCGGUCCGCGCGCCCUCUCUCCCGGCUGACGCAAUAAAUGGGUUUUUAAUUAAAAUUUAAAUGAAGAAAUUCGCAAAUAUCCAUUUAAAGAGCAUAUAAACUUCAAAUGGCCAUAACUUGGCCAUUUGAACUCGGAAUUGGACCGUUCAAGUCUCUAAUUUUUCCUUAAGAAGUCAAGAACCCAUUUUUGUGCUUUGUUUCUGCUGUUAUGUGGAGUUUAUUAGAGUAAAAGCCUUUUCUUUUCCGUUGGUCGUGUAGACGCUGCAGCUUCGGAAGAUCCGCUCUUCGUGGAAGUUGAAGCCGACGUUUGGGAAAGCGAGCAAGGCAAGUCACAUCAUCUUUGAGCAUAUUGAAUCCCAGUUUAUAAAAUUAUGUUGAUUUAAAUUAUUGCAUUAUCGCUUCAUUUAAAUUCCCGCGUUAUCACUGUUUUAUUUAGCCAUGCCUAUUUACCUUUGUUAUGACCAUAUUAUUAUUGUUAUUGUUAUUAUUAUUACCUUGUUCACCCUAGAUUAAACAAAACCUCAACUAGUGGACACUCUACUCAUGGCACCACUAGUUUAAUUUUAGGUAGAUGCUUCGCAAUUUAAUUAGGUAACAUUAGGUGGUUUUUCAACUAUAGACUUUGGGAAAUAUUCAUAUCACCUGGAUCCUUUAGAAUGGUUUGGUUCUUGUGGAAUUGGCUUCACACCGCUCCUUCUAUUCAAAAUCCCCAAAAUGGUUUUAGGCUGGGCUCGGGGUGCAUGGUUUUGAUAGUAGCACCUCGGCCAUAUAAGGACCGGUCUUCGGGCCUCUGUUGCAAAGCACUACCGUACUUCCACAUGUCUAGUGGGUAAGGCUUAGUUUGUGGCUCAGUCUAGUUAUAAACAAAAGUACACGGAUGGAGGUGGAUGAAGUCGGGGGUCGAUGGACAUUCUCCAGGGCAAAUGAAGGCUACACGAGCUGCGGCCCGGUAGUCGAGAUGUCAUGGCACAGGGCCGGUGUCCUGCUGCUAGGGGCUCAGUCCUGCCUGCCUGUCCCGGGGGUUCCGGCCGUAGGCGGGAUUGGGUCGGUACUCUUGUCUAUGGCUAGGAUGGGUUGGAAACUAUGUCACGUCUUCCGUCUGUAUACCGUGGUGGUAUGUGGCACGUGGUUGCACGUGAGGAAGAUGUGUCUUGUGGGUAAAGAUGUACACCUCUGAUCAGAGUAAAAUCUAUUCGAAUAGCCGCGCCCUCGGUUAUGGGCAAGCCGAGCAAUGUACCCAAGUUAGUGUUUUAAUUCCUAAAACCUGCUUAACAACUAAAAUGUGGAAUGGUUGGCCUGGAUUGGCUUGGGACGAGCUGGGACCCAGGGUCGGGUUGCCAGUUCGGUCUGAAUCAUCAUAGGCCUUGGGUUAAGGCAGGUUCGUGUGGGUUCACGGCCUUGAUUAAUAACAUUGUAUAGUUCUAGGAUCGCGUUUACAAAAUAGCCUUGAGCAACUAAAUGUCUUUAAAUGCUGUUUACUGCAACCCUAACCCUUUAUAUUAUAAUUCCCUUGUACUCCCUUGCAUUUAUUCUGCAUUUGUGGGUGUGUCUUGUUGAGUACGGUGGUUGUACUCAGUCUUGCUCAAUUUUUCCCAAGCCCAGAAGAGGAGCUCCUUGAAGAUGAAGGCUUUGGUGUCUAGCUCGUGCCUGCCGUCAAGCGCCUGUGGUCGUCGCCCUAGUCUUCCGCUGUUUCUCGUUUGUCUUUGUGUGUGCUGGGCCUUCGCUGCCCAUGUAAUAAGUUAACUAUUUACGCUUCCGCUUGUUAAACUCUGAAUUGUAUCAACUUUUGGUGUACCUUGCCUCCUGGGACAAGGAUUAAUGCACGCACGUCAGGAACGCCCGUUGGGUUAUUUCCGGUCGUGACAAGUUGGUAUCAGAGCCACCCUUGACCCUAGGACGAGCCGUAGAUCCCAAGCCUUAGCAAUAUUUUCAAAAAUAAAAAUCCUUUGUUAUUUGUGAAAACUGUCUAGUCUAUCUCUGUCUUGCUGCUUCAUUUAUCGCCAAAAUCUGACCUUUAAAAUGUUGUUUUCUUUUUGUUUUUGUUUGUAGAUGGCCGGCAGCGUCACCCGUCGUGGUUUGGACAUGACUGGUUUCGUCUUGGAGCUGCGAGGCAUGUGCGUGGCCUUGGGGUAUCCACAUGGAGUGGACUACCAGGCCAGGCCGCUUCCGGAGCAGGAGGGUGACGAUGCAGAGCCCCACGCUGGUUGGGAGGUCACUGCAGUGAUCCUCGCUGGCUCUCCCGAGCGGACUUCGCUGACAGUCACCGCGGGUGGAGAUUCCUUCCCCGCCGCUUGCCAGAGCGCCGCUCUCCUCGCCAUCGGCACUCUUCACCAGCGCUACCCAGACGAGUUGCAGCACUCGCCCUACCGCUACCACCCUCGCCACGGAGGAGCCCGCGACUACGCCACCUUCCGGGAUGCUAGCUCGGAGGAUGACGCUACCAUCGUGCACCUGGCGCGCAUGGUGGAGGCGUACGACGCGGCUCGUAUCGACUUCCAUCAGAUGGUGCGUCGCGGGAUGGUUGAGAACAACAUGAAGAUCCUGGAGCUGCGUCAGGAGAACCUGCAGCUCAAGAAGGACCUAGAUGCGGUGGAGGCGCAGCUGCAUCAGCUUAAGAUCGCCCAGGGAGAGGUCUGCCGCCCCAAGCGUCGCCGCGUCUGCCGCAGCCAGAAGAUCACCGCCCGCAAGAGCACCUCCAGGCCCGAGCUUGUUCGUCAGUCCCUGGCGUGGACCUGCUUCGUGGAGACCCCUCGUGCCGAGCCCGCGCCCGUGGUUCCCCAGGAGGGGGAAGCCUCCGGCGUUGGUAGCACGGAGGGUGCGCUGUUGCUCACCUUCCGUCCUGGCCCGUCGCAGCAGUAGACGAGCAGUUAGUAGGUUUGCGCGUGUGUUCUUUCUUGUUUGUCUUUUUUUGAGUCGUGUGGGGCAUGGUUAUGCCGGUGUGUGGUAUAACUGUGUCGGAGCCUGUCUUAUUUUAUUUGCCUAAGCAACUUGAACAUUAAUGAACCAAUUUAAUAGCAGUAAUAAAUUCAAGAAUUAUGGUAGUCGUGGGUGGUUAGUUUUAAUUGUUAGCUCUUUCUCUGUUUGCUGGUUCUGUGUGGGGUUUUCAGAUGGUGACGACCAGGAGAAAUGCUAACACCGGUGAUGGCAACCAACCCGAAAGCAGCAACCACAACCACCAGGGCAACCCACCUCCACCUCCUCCUCCGCCUCCGCCACCACCACCAGACACCAACGCCAUUCUCACCCAAAUCCUCGCCCAGCAAGCCAACAUGAUGACUGCUUUCCUCCACCACCUCCAAAAUCCGCCACAACAUAAUGCUCCACCACCACCCCCACAACACUCUAAACUCGCCGAGUUCCUCCGCAUCCGCCCACCUACCUUCUCAAGCUCCAACAACCCCGUGGAUGCGUUGGAUUGGUUGCAUGCCGUGGGGAAAAAGCUAGACACGGUGCAGUGCAGCGAUGAGGAGAAAGUCAUCUUCGCCGCCCACCAACUGCAGGGGCCCGCAUCUCUCUGGUGGGACCACUUCCAGGCUACGCAGCCAGAGGGACAGCCGAUUACUUGGGCCCGCUUCACCGCCGCUUUCCGAAGAACCCAUGUGCCCGCCGGAGUCGUGGCCCUUAAGAAAAGGGAAUUCCGAGAGUUGAAGCAAGGCAACCGCUCCGUGAUGGAGUAUUUGCAUGAGUUCAACAACCUGGCCCGUUACGCUCCGGAGGAUGUGCGGGAAGAUGAGGAGAAGCAAGAGAAGUUCUUGGCAGGAAUGGACCCUGAGCUGUCCGUCCGUCUAGUCUCUGGGGACUAUCCGGAUUUUCAACGAUUGGUGGACAAGAGCAUCCGCUUGGAAGCCAAGCACAAGGAGCUGGAGUCGCACAAGCGCCGCUUGGCGAAUUUCCGCAAUCAACAGGGUGCUAACCAAAGGGUCCGCUACACCAAUCCCUAUCCAGGGGGAUCCUCCUCGCAGCAGCAACAACAGCAGCAGCAACCUCGCUCCGCGCCUCGACCUCAAUUCGUGGUGCGCGUCCCACAGCCGCAGCAACAGCAGAAUCAGCAGGGGACUCGUGCACCCCAUCCUCCUACGCCAACUGUGCAGUCUGGUCAAGGCCGCAGGGACGCUCAAGGUCAGCAGCGUCUGUGCUUCAACUGCUUCGAGCCCGGGCACUUUGCGGAUAAAUGCCCGAAACCAAGGCGUCAGCAAGGCCAAGCGCCUCCCCGCUCCAAGAACGGCGGGAAGGAUGUCAUUCGGGGUCGUGUGAAUCACGUGACGGCCGAGGACGUGCUGACAACUCCAGACGUCAUCGUUGGUACGUUCCUCGUUCAUUCCAUCCCUGCUACAAUUUUGUUCGACUCUGGAGCUUCCCACUCGUUUAUAUUUGUGCCAUUCGUGGGGAGAAAUCAGUUGGGGGUAGAAAGGCUUAGGAACCCUCUGCUCAUCACCACCCCUGGAGGGGUUAUGACAGCAAAGUAUUAUAGCCCUGCCGUCCCUAUAGAAAUUCAGGGGAUUCCUUUUCCCUCGGAUCUGAUUUUGCUAGACACCAAGAAUUUGGAUGUGAUCCUUGGGAUGAAUUGGUUGGCUCAAUUCCAAGGAGUAGUGGAUUGCGCGAGACGCACUGUUACUCUGUACCGAGGGCCGGCACAACCAGUUGUUUUCUUUGCACCCUCAACCUCUAUCAGAAGUUCAGAACUUCAUCAGAUAGGACUGUCAGAAAUCCCCAUCGUCAGGGAGUUCGGAGAUGUGUUUCCGGAAGAACUACCCGGUAUGCCGCCCAAACGAGAGAUUGAGUUCCGGAUAGAUCUUGCUCCAGGAACCACUCCUCUGCACAAGCGACCCUACCGUAUGGCAGCAAAUGAACUGGCCGAAGUAAAGAAACAGUUGGAAGAGUUGAAAGAAAAGGGAUACAUACGUCCGAGUACUUCCCCAUGGGGUGCUCCUGUGAUUUUUGUAGAGAAGAAAGACAAGACGAAGAGGAUGUGCGUCGACUACAGAGCUCUCAAUGAAGUCACCAUCAAAAACAAGUACCCUCUUCCCCGGAUCGAUGAUCUGUUCGAUCAGCUUAAAGGUGCCACUGUAUUCUCCAAGAUUGAUCUUCGUUCCGGAUAUCACCAAUUACGUAUUCGUGAAGAAGAUAUUCCGAAGACCGCAUUCACCACGCGAUACGGGCUGUAUGAAUUCACGGUGAUGUCAUUCGGUCUAACCAAUGCACCUGCCUUCUUCAUGAACUUAAUGAACAAAGUGUUCAUGGAAUACUUGGAUAAGUUUGUUGUGGUUUUCAUUGAUGACAUUCUGAUAUACUCACACUCAGAGGAAGACCAUCAGCACCAUCUCCGUCUGGUGUUGGGAAAGUUGCGGGAACAUCAAUUGUAUGCCAAGCUUAGCAAGUGUGAGUUCUGGUUGUCCGAAGUCAAAUUCUUGGGGCACGUGAUAUCUGCUAAAGGAGUUGCUGUGGACCCCGAAACAGUGACCGCCGUCACCGAUUGGAAGCAACCCAAGACAGUUACUCAAGUCCGCAGUUUCUUAGGUUUGGCAGGAUACUACCGGAGAUUCAUCGAGAACUUCUCCAAAAUCGCUCGACCCAUGACACAGUUGUUGAAGAAAGAAGAGAAAUUUGUGUGGAGCCCGCAAUGCGAGAAGGCGUUUCAAACUCUCAAGGAAAAGCUGGUUUCCUCGCCGGUGUUAAUCUUGCCGGAUACUCGCAAGGACUUCAUGGUGUAUUGUGACGCUUCGCGCCAAGGAUUGGGGUGCGUGCUCAUGCAGGACGGUCAUGUAGUAGCCUAUGCCUCACGUCAGCUACGACCUCAUGAAGGCAACUACCCUACACAUGACUUGGAGUUAGCCGCGGUGGUUCAUGCUCUAAAAAUCUGGCGGCACUAUCUCAUUGGAAAUCGCUGUGAAAUAUAUACCGACCAUAAGAGUUUGAAAUACAUCUUCACCCAGUCGGAUCUGAAUCUUCGGCAAAGGAGAUGGUUAGAACUUAUCAAAGACUAUGAUGUGGGAAUUCACUAUCAUCCUGGUAAGGCCAACGUGGUUGCCGACGCUCUAAGUCGAAAGAGCCAUUGCAACACUCUUAACGUCCGUGGCAUUCCACCCGAACUUAGUCAACAGAUGGAAGCCCUGAAUCUAAGCAUAGUUAGUCGUGGAUUCUUGGCUGCGUUGGAAGCCAAGCCUACCUUGCUCGAUCAAAUCCGCGAGGCUCAGAAGAAUGAUCCGGACAUGCAUGGACUCCUCAAGAAUAUGAAACAGGGUAAAGCCGCUGGUUUCACAGAGGAUGAACACGGAACCCUAUGGAACGGAAAGCGGGUAUGCGUUCCAGAUAACAGAGAACUUAAACAGUUGAUACUUCAGGAAGCUCACGAGAGCCCUUAUUCCAUUCACCCGGGCAGUACAAAGAUGUACUUAGACUUGAAGGAGAAAUACUGGUGGGUUAGCAUGAAGCGGGAAAUUGCAGAGUUUGUGGCCCUAUGUGAUGUGUGCCAACGUGUCAAGGCAGAGCACCAACGACCGGCCGGACUUCUCCAACCUCUCCAAGUACCAGAAUGGAAAUGGGAUGAAAUUGGGAUGGAUUUCAUCACCGGACUUCCAAAAACCCAAGGUGGAUAUGAUUCUAUAUGGGUAGUUGUGGAUCGAUUAACCAAGGUAGCUCGAUUUAUUCCUGUGAAGACCACCUAUGGAGGGAACAAGCUAGCCGAGCUCUACUUCGCUAGGAUCGUGAGUCUCCAUGGCGUUCCCAAGAAAUUCGUAUCUGAUAGGGGAAGCCAAUUCACCUCUCACUUUUGGAAGAAGCUCCAAGAAGACCUGGGUACUCGAUUGAAUUUCAGCACCGCCUAUCACCCGCAGACAGAUGGACAGACCGAGUGUCUAAAUCAGAUCCUAGAAGAUAUGCUCCGCGCAUGUGUACUAGAUUUCGGGAAGACCUGGGAUAAGAGUCUCCCCUAUGCCGAGUUCUCCUACAAUAACAGCUAUCAAGCCAGCAUACAAAUGGCACCUUAUGAAGCGUUGUACGGGCGCAAAUGCCGGACACCGCUAUUGUGGGACCAAGUUGGAGAAAGCCAAGUGUUCGGGACUGAUAUCCUGAGAGAAGCUGAAGCUAAAGUCAGAACCAUUCGGGAUAACCUAAAGGUGGCACAGUCCCGGCAGAAAAGUUAUGCAGAUAACCGUCGCUGUGACCUGGAAUUCGCAGUGGAUGAUUUUGUGUACCUUCGGGUCACGCCAUUGCGAGGUGUACACAGGUUUCAGACAAAAGGGAAGCUCGCACCUCGGUAUGUGGGUCCUUUCCGUAUCGUUGCUCGACGCGGAGAAGUCGCUUACCAGUUGGAGCUGCCCGCCUCCUUGGGCAACGUGCAUGAUGUGUUCCAUGUGUCGCAACUCAAGAAAUGCCUUCGAGUGCCAUCCGAGCAGGCCGACUCAGAGCAGAUUGAAGUUCGCGAAGAUUUGACCUACGUGGAGAGGCCAGUGAAAAUCCUGGACACCAUGGAGCGCAGGACCAGGAACCGGGUAAUCCGUUUUUGCAAGGUCCAGUGGAGCAACCAUGCCGAAGAAGAAGCUACCUGGGAGCGUGAAGACGAGCUGAAGGCAGCCCAUCCCGAUCUCUUCGCCAGUUCUUCCGAAUCUCGGGGUCGAGAUUCCGUUUAAGGGGGGUAGGUUUGUCGCGUCCCAAAUCGACUCUAAAAUACAUCCUCGAAAUCGUGCUGAGAAUAAUUAAAAUUCAUGUGAAAGCCUUCAACAAUUAAAAUGUGCAAAUUUAAAAGUCAAAUAAGGCUUGGAGGAUUUUUGUAUAUUUCCUAAAAGCCUAAAAUGCGUAAAUAAAUUUUAGUGGAAUUUUCAGAGCAAAUAAUAAUUGAGAAGAAAUAAACAAAGUUAAAAAGGUUUUAUAAAAAGAAAAUCCCUAAAAGUCUUCUUUCCCCCCCUUUCCCUCUUGGGCCGGCUCGGCCCAACUCCCUCCCUCUCUCUCCUCUCCCCCGCGGCCCAUCGGCCUCCUCCCCGCGCGCGCGCCGCCGACAGGCGGGCCCGCCCGCCACCCUCGCUGACGGGUGGGGCCCACCUGUCAUCGCCUACCUCGCGCCGCGCCCGCCGCCCGCCGCCGAAUCCGCCGCAUCCCGCCGUCCCCGCGCGCCAUAAAGAGGGGGAAAUCACUCCCCGUGAUUCCCUCCCUCUUUCCCCCUCUUUUCCCUCUCUCUUUCCAUCGGAUUCGCUCGGAUUUAUUCCCGUAAAGUUCGCCGGCUCAUCAAUGGAGCCCGAGAUUCCCGCGGCCGAUUCCUUCCCCUCCGGCCGCCCUCUCUCCCUCCCGACGCUAUAUAAUCGAUCCUCGUGCUUCGCUCCUCCGUUUCCGCCACUCGCCGCACUCUCUCCCCGUCGGAAUCAAGCCCGUGCCGUCUUCCUCUCUCUCCGCCGUCGCCGACGAGCUCCGGUUCGCCGCCGCCGUCGCUCCGGACUUCCUCCCCUCUCGGCGUCGCCUCCUUCGGCUUCGCCGCGUCCUCGUCGACCCCGUCCGCCCCUCCGAUUCGCCCGCCGACCGCCGGAACAUCGCUGUCCUCGUCGACCCGAGCCGCGCCGCCGCCUUCCUCCGCUCCGGUCAUCGUUUCCGCCGUCCUCGUCGUCCCGGGGUGAGCCGUGGACCGCCUCUUUCGCUUCCCUCUUCCCUCCCCUCUCUCGGCCGCCGCUCCGCCGCGCCGUUGGUCGCCGGCGGCGACCAUCGGGGCGCGGGUGCGCCGCCUCCCGUCGGCCGUGCCGGCGAGGCCGCCUUCGGGCGCGCCCCGCGGCUGCCAGGUGGGCCCGGCCGUCAGCCGCCCGCGCCCGCGGGUGCGGCUGACGCGUGGGACCCACGGCGCCGGCCGGCGUCAGCCGUGUGCACCCGGUCCACCUUGGACCGAGAGGCUGACGCGUGGGCCCCACUCCCGUGGACCCGGUCCGCGCGCCCUCUCUCCCGGCUGACGCAAUAAAUGGGUUUUUAAUUAAAAUUUAAAUGAAGAAAUUCGCAAAUAUCCAUUUAAAGAGCAUAUAAACUUCAAAUGGCCAUAACUUGGCCAUUUGAACUCGGAAUUGGACCGUUCAAGUCUCUAAUUUUUCCUUAAGAAGUCAAGAACCCAUUUUUGUGCUUUGUUUCUGCUGUUAUGUGGAGUUUAUUAGAGUAAAAGCCUUUUCUUUUCCGUUGGUCGUGUAGACGCUGCAGCUUCGGAAGAUCCGCUCUUCGUGGAAGUUGAAGCCGACGUUUGGGAAAGCGAGCAAGGCAAGUCACAUCAUCUUUGAGCAUAUUGAAUCCCAGUUUAUAAAAUUAUGUUGAUUUAAAUUAUUGCAUUAUCGCUUCAUUUAAAUUCCCGCGUUAUCACUGUUUUAUUUAGCCAUGCCUAUUUACCUUUGUUAUGACCAUAUUAUUAUUGUUAUUGUUAUUAUUAUUACCUUGUUCACCCUAGAUUAAACAAAACCUCAACUAGUGGACACUCUACUCAUGGCACCACUAGUUUAAUUUUAGGUAGAUGCUUCGCAAUUUAAUUAGGUAACAUUAGGUGGUUUUUCAACUAUAGACUUUGGGAAAUAUUCAUAUCACCUGGAUCCUUUAGAAUGGUUUGGUUCUUGUGGAAUUGGCUUCACACCGCUCCUUCUAUUCAAAAUCCCCAAAAUGGUUUUAGGCUGGGCUCGGGGUGCAUGGUUUUGAUAGUAGCACCUCGGCCAUAUAAGGACCGGUCUUCGGGCCUCUGUUGCAAAGCACUACCGUACUUCCACAUGUCUAGUGGGUAAGGCUUAGUUUGUGGCUCAGUCUAGUUAUAAACAAAAGUACACGGAUGGAGGUGGAUGAAGUCGGGGGUCGAUGGACAUUCUCCAGGGCAAAUGAAGGCUACACGAGCUGCGGCCCGGUAGUCGAGAUGUCAUGGCACAGGGCCGGUGUCCUGCUGCUAGGGGCUCAGUCCUGCCUGCCUGUCCCGGGGGUUCCGGCCGUAGGCGGGAUUGGGUCGGUACUCUUGUCUAUGGCUAGGAUGGGUUGGAAACUAUGUCACGUCUUCCGUCUGUAUACCGUGGUGGUAUGUGGCACGUGGUUGCACGUGAGGAAGAUGUGUCUUGUGGGUAAAGAUGUACACCUCUGAUCAGAGUAAAAUCUAUUCGAAUAGCCGCGCCCUCGGUUAUGGGCAAGCCGAGCAAUGUACCCAAGUUAGUGUUUUAAUUCCUAAAACCUGCUUAACAACUAAAAUGUGGAAUGGUUGGCCUGGGUUGGCUUGGGACGAGCUGGGACCCAGGGUCGGGUUGCCAGUUUGGUCUGAAUCAUCAUAGGCCUUGGGUUAAGGCAGGUUCGUGUGGGUUCACGGCCUUGAUUAAUAACAUUGUAUAGUUCUAGGAUCGCGUUUACAAAAUAGCCUUGAGCAACUAAAUGUCUUUAAAUGCUGUUUACUGCAACCCUAACCCUUUAUAUUAUAAUUCCCUUGUACUCCCUUGCAUUUAUUCUGCAUUUGUGGGUGUGUCUUGUUGAGUACGGUGGUUGUACUCAGUCUUGCUCAAUUUUUCCCAAGCCCAGAAGAGGAGCUCCUUGAAGAUGAAGGCUUUGGUGUCUAGCUCGUGCCUGCCGUCAAGCGCCUGUGGUCGUCGCCCUAGUCUUCCGCUGUUUCUCGUUUGUCUUUGUGUGUGCUGGGCCUUCGCUGCCCAUGUAAUAAGUUAACUAUUUACGCUUCCGCUUGUUAAACUCUGAAUUGUAUCAACUUUUGGUGUACCUUGCCUCCUGGGACAAGGAUUAAUGCACGCACGUCAGGAACGCCCGUUGGGUUAUUUCCGGUCGUGACAAUAAUGACGCCAAAUUUUCAACGCAUGAACUACUGCAGCUAACUCAAUAUCAUGAGUAGGGUAGUUCUUCUCAUGCGGACGUAACUGACGAGAUGCAUAGGUAACCACCUUCCCAUCUUGCAUCAGAACACAACCUAACCCAAGUUUGGAUGCAUCACAAUACACCUGGAAACCCUUUUUUGGAUCAGGUAAAAUCAAGAUAGGAGCUGAUAUUAAGCGAUUCUUCAACUCUUGAAAACUCUGCUCACAUUCUUCCGACCACUUAUACUUCACAUCUUUCUGUAGCAGUCGUGUCAUGGGCUUAGUAAUCUUGGAAAAAUUCUCUAUAAACCUCCGGUAAUAUCCUGCGAGGCCUAAGAAACUGCGAAUCUCUGAAACUGUCUUUAGUUGUUUGCAGUUGGUUACGGAUUCCACAUUACUGGGAUCAACGGCAACUCCUCCUGCUGAGAUGACGUGACCAAGGAACUUCACUUCAGACAACCAAAAUUCACACUUGCUAAACUUAGCAUACAGUUGAUGUUCUCGUAGCUUCUCUAGUGCAAGGCGAAGAUGUUCUUCAUGCUCUUCUCUUGUUCGAGAGUAGAUAAGAAUGUCAUCAAUAAAGACCACCACAAACUUAUCUAGGUAUUCCAUAAACACCUUAUUCAUCAAGUUCAUGAAGAAAGCAGGGGCAUUGGUAAGUCCAAAAGACAUAACAGUACAUUCGAACAAUCCAUACCUAGUGGUAAAAGCUGUCUUAGGUAUAUCUUCCUCUUUGAUUCUCAACUGGUGAUACCCUGAUCGAAGAUCGAUCUUAGAGAAAACAGUGGCACCUUUAAGCUGAUCAAACAAAUCAUCAAUUCUGGGUAGUGGAUACUUAUUCUUGAUAGUCACAUCAUUUAAUGCACGAUAGUCCACACACAUCCUCUGGGUAUGAUCUUUCUUUUCCACAAAAAUAACCGGAGCUCCCCAUGGAGAUGAACUCGGUCUGAUGUAUCCCUUCUGAAGCAAAUCAUCCACUUGCCUCUUGACUUCUGCCAACUCAUUGGCUGCCAUUCUAUAAGGCCUCUUAUGAAUCGGAGUUGUUCCAGGUACCAAAUCUAUUCUGAACUCUAUAUCCCUUUUGGGCGGCAUACCAGGUAAAUCAUCUGGGAACACAUCGGGAUACUCCCGGACUAUAGGAAUCUCUUCCAAAGUUAUCUGGUUCAGUCUUGACCUUAAAGACUCAGAAGAUAAUGCAUGAACAGUUACAACUCGACCAUCACUACUGGUGAGAGUUACUUUUCUGUUAGCACAGUCUAUAACACCUUUAUGUCUGGUUAACCAGUCCAUCCCUAGGAUGACAUCAAGGUCUUUGGAUUCUAACAAGAUAAGAUUGGCCAGAAAUGGUACUCCCUUAAUUUCUAUUCUGACAGAGGGGCUACGUUGCAAAGAGAGUGCUUGAUUACUUGGGGUACUAACCAUCAAAGGACGUCUAAGAUCUUCUACUUCCAUCCCAUGAUUUCCCGCAAAACUCAUAGAUAGAAAUGAAUGUGUAGCACCAGAAUCGAAAAGCACUGUUGCAUGAACUGAGUUAACAGGGAACGUACCCAAAAUCACAUCUGGAGCGUCUUGAGCUUCUGCAGCUGCAACAUGAUUGACACGGGCCUUUGAUGCUGGUAUAGUAGAGUUGCUCUAGGCAGGGACAACCUUCACGCGUCGGGGCUUUGGACACUUGUCAGCAUAAUGUCCUGGGUCUCCAUAGUUGAAACACACCACGGGCUUGCUGCCUUGCUCCCUCUUGGCAGGCGGUUGUUGUGUUGGAGCUGCAACAGGACGUGGAGCUUGAUUACGGAUGUUGUUGCCAGCAUUGUUGUUGAAGAACUGACGCUGCGGACGAACAACAGAUGAAGAACCUCCAUGUGGCAUGGACUGGGGUACAAAAGUAAGACGCGGCUUCUGAUUAUUCCCCUGUUGUAUCUUGAAUUGAGCAAUCCGGCGUUUCUUCUGCUCCAUGCGAUUAUACUUGUCCUCCUGACGAAUAGCCUUAUCCACUAAUUUCUGGAAAUUAGAAUAAUCUCCAGUCAUGAGUGGGUAAGAAAGCUCAUCAUUAAGUCCUUCCAAGAACUUCUCCUGACGCUCUUCAUCAUUGCGCACAUCUUCUGGAGCAUAACGAGCUAGACGAUUGAACUCGUGUAGAUACUCCGUAACAGAGCGAGAUCCCUGGGUGAGCGACCUGAACUCCUUCUUCUUGAGAGACACCACUCCCGAUGGUAUAUGCGUCUUCCGGAAAGCAGCGGUCAAUUCAAGCCAAGUGAUAGGUUCAGCAGUAGUCCUAUUCAGGCGGAAGUGAUCCCACCAUUCAGAGGCAGGGCCAAGCAACUGGUGUGAUGCAAAUGAGACCUUCUCCUGAUCAGUGCACUGAAGCAAAUCCAACUUCUUCUCUAUGGCAUGCAGCCAAUCACCAGCUUCAACAGGGUUAGUGGUACUAGAGAAAAUAGGCGGCCUCACACGAAGAAAUUCUGCUAACUUAUUCUGAGGAGGUGCAUGGUUAUUUCCUUGGUUCUGCUGAUUCUGAAGUUGUUGCAUCAUCAUGUGCAUUAGCUGAGUCUGUUGAGCAAGAACUUGAGCAAGGGUUGGGUUCCCUUCAUUGUUAUUGUUGUUGUUGGGGUUGUUGAGGUUGGGACCAUUCCCGUUGCUGCGAGUGUUCACCAUCUGGCAUGGACAGGGCACAAGAAGAGAAACCGGGGAAACUACUUAGGACAGAGAAUUACUUUAACUUUUAUUGAUCUUAACUGAGUUUCAUUAUUACAAACUGAAGACUCUCACACCACUAAACUCACCAACUUCCUAACACUCAGAGGCAAACAAACGCAUGCACUUACAUUCCACCACUGAUGUAAAUCACAUGCAAGACCCACACACACAACCAAACUUAAAACAAGCAAACUAACACAACGAUCUAAGACAACGGCUUAACAAGUCACUCUAGUUCUUCCGAGCAUCGGAGGUCGAUUGAAGGCUCGUUCGGCUCGUCUUCAUCAUCUUGAGUUGCUACCCACUCAAUCUUGGAAUGGUUGCGCUUGGAUUCUUCUUCUUCAUCAUCACUUACGUUGACGACCGGAGGAUCUGCUGGGGCAACUUCUUUCUCCACCACACGGACCUUUGGCGCCAAUUGAUAACGAGGGACAAAUAGAGCUCUCUUCCUUGCGGUAAGACGAAUCCUGGCCUUCUGCGGCGGUGCUUCUCCCUUCAACGCAGCUAGUUCCUUCUCCAAACGAUCCACCUUGUCUUCUAGCUUGCAAAUCUUACCACGAUUCCAAUCUUCACGAUCUUGGGCUGCUAACACAGUCUCUGCAUGACUUUCAUCCAUAGCCCAUAGCAUCUCAACCAAAUGUCUUGUGGUAGCAUCAUUCUCAAUUCCUUCAGUCUCAAGGUAACUGCCACGGUCACUUCCCUGUGGUUGACGAGGAUGGUAACGAUACUCAGUGUCGGCCAAUUGAUCACUGUAGCGAUCGCGGAGCUCUCCUAUGGCGAUCCUUGCCACUUCCUGACAUGCAUGGAUGUAGUUUCUUCCUCCAGCUUCGAACAUCACUGAUAGAAUGUCUUCACUAUUACUGUUCAAGGUGACUUUGACUCGGCACCUCUCUUCAUGACGAUCAUGAGGAAUCUGAGCAUAAAAAGGGGCAGUCCCAAAUCCAAUGACAAAGGACAUUGUACGCAACUCCUGGACAAAACCCUCAACACCAAACAAGUACUCAGGCUUGUAGCGCGGCAUCUAAACACAAGUGAAAGGAGGGAGUUAAGACAUCUAUCCAAUUAAUAUCACAAGUUUUUGGAUUAAUUUGAAUAAAGUUUUAGAAAUUCAAAGUAAAAGGUAAGUAAACAAAGUAAACCAAGUUUGCAAGAUAAGUUGAAACAGUUGGAAACCAGGUUACAAGUUUUAUACUUUUGAAUAACAGGUUCCAAAAGAAAUAAAAGAAAGUUAUAAAAUCAACUUGUUAAAUUUAUUUUAUUGCAGCAAGAUUAAAUGAAACAACAUUGUAAAAUUUUUGCUGGAAAAUGAGCCAUUAGUACAGUAAUAGAUGUACAGUACUAAUAACACUGGAAUAAAUUUUGAAUGAGAACCAUUAAAAGAGAUUAUGAAGUGCAUGUGCCAUUAGUUUGGUUUAAUUAAAAGAGAAAGGGAGGAGAACAGUUCUACUUUUCCAAUAUUUUUAGAGGGCUUCUAUGGGUAACCAUUUGGCAUAACCUAGGGUCAAGGGAGCUCUGAUACCAACUUGUCACGCCCGGAAUUUCUAUCCAAAAUUCCAAACGCUUACAUGUGUGUAAACCCUCGUCCAGGAAUCAGCCGAGGCACACAAUAACAAAUUGAUAAUAGAGUACAGUUAUUACUCUAAUUAUUAAGCGUAUAAAAUAUCAUUACAGAGGUAGAUAGUUCCUCUCAAUCAAUAAAGAUCUAAGCAGCGGAAAAAGAUAAACGGCGCGGACGACUCCACUCCACAGGCAGCUUGACCAGGGCUACACCUAAUCCUCCACACCAUCAGCUUCACUGUAGAACUCUUCCUCUGAUGAAUAAUUGCAAGGUGAGUAUAUGACAUACUCAGCAAGCCACGCAGCAAAUAUGCAAGUGCACAGGAUAACAAAGGAUGGCAUAAUAGGGUUUCAUUUGCAAAAGCAGCUUUUAGCAAACACUUGAGAAUUUAAUAAAACAGUUAAGUAAUUAAACAAUAUUAAUCCAACGCUAUACAACAUACCCUGUUGCAUAGGCCCAACCAUUCUGAACAACCAUCCCGGCUGCACAGUUCUAUCUCCAAACCAGGAAUAUACCAUUCCAAACCAGGAGCUAAUCAAAUUAUUACCAGUUAUAGCAUCUUCUAUUAUGGUGAGAAGGGUGAGACUAAUCACGAAAGACAUUGUUAGACCCGCCCAUAACCGCGGGCACGGCUAUUCGAAUAGUUUUACUCUGAUCAGAGGUGUACCACUGUACCCACAAGACACAACCCCACAUCAUGUCACCAUGUGCCUCAAUACCACCACGGUACCUCGGAAAGGAGCUGUGACAAUACCCCUCGCACAACACAAU